rnacentral:piRNA from 1 species
UGAGUUUUUAAAUAUAACAACUCUAAUGCAGC